GGUAAAUAUAAAAAGCAUCUCGUUUUCGCAACUCUACGUUUUAAAACAAUAAGGGCAGUAUAUAUAACUCGUUUGCACCUAGCAUGCUUAUACGAAGCUGACCCUUCAAGAUGUCGCGACAUCUUUUCAUCAUAAUCGUCACAAUUUCCUUAGCACUGGCAGCACCGUCACCUGGACUCCACUUCUCGGUGCACUCGGCGCCACUUGUGCACAGUCCUGUAAUCCACCAUCCCUAUGUACAUCCAGUACCAGUGGUGCACAGUGUCCCGGUACACGCGUACCACCAAGUACACACGGUGCCGAUCGUCCACAGUCCCGUGGUACAUUAUAAAUUAAAAUCUCACUAUCAUGUACAUGGUUAAUAAAAAUGUUAAUUAAA